GACGAACGCUGGCGGCGUGCCUAAUACAUGCAAGUCGAACGCAGUGGGGACGGGUGAGUAACACGUGGGUAACCUUCCCUCAGAGGGGAUAACACUUGGCAACAGGUGCUAAACCGAUAUUGAUCGAUGGACCCGCGGUGCAUUAGCUAGUUGGUGGGGGAACGGCUCACCAGGGCCACGAUGCAUAGCCGACCUGAGAGGAUGAUCGGCCACACUGGGACUGAGACACGGCCCAGACUCCUACGGGAGGCAGCAGUAGGGAAUAUUCGACAAGGGACGAAAGUCUGACCGAGCAACGCCGCGUGAGUGAAGAAGGUUUUCGGAUCGUAAAACACUGUUGUUAGAGAAGCGGUAUCUAACCAGAAAGCCACGGCUAACUACGUGCCAGCAGCCGCGGUAAUUC
rnacentral:rRNA from 1 species